rnacentral:miRNA from 1 species
UGAGACCAAAUGAGCAGCUGAC